AUGAAGGAAAUGCGAAUUACCUACAGAACGGAGAUUCACCUCGGUCGUCAUUGUAACGAAUGUGCCACGGAAAUGGAGAGAAAGCCAGAGGAACUAGAAUUCACAGAUAAUACUAAGCAUCUAUUAAUCUUUAUUUUUCUUUUCUUCUUCUUUGUUUCUGAACUCUUUUGUCGUUACUUCAUUCUUCGUGUUUCCCGUUGUUAUUUAAUGUCGCGGUUACACAGUGAUAUUGUUGUUGUUGCUCAUUUGAAGAGAGGAAGGUUGAAUAAUUGA